GCUUCUCUUUCCUCGCCCGUGCUCUGCUGUGAUCAAUGCCCUGCAUUGGAGUCCUCCCUUUAGGUAUUCCAGGUGAAUUCUGGAUUGACCUUAAAUGACCCAAGAUCCAACACAGGCCACCUGCACAACUGGAUUCGUAGAUUUUCUUCUCCACAGUGGGCUUUGCCACUUAACCCCCAAGCCUCGCACAGAGCCUGGCCAACAGGAGGAACCUGCCACCGCACCUGACAUGACAUGAAGUGCUAUGUGAAGAUUUUCUGAGUGGCUGACAGAACCAUGAAUGAAUGGCACGAUCUAACUGUCAGCAGGAGCACAGAAAAGGGGAGUGCUGGUACUUUUCUCCAAAGACAAUCCGAUUCACCAUGGAGGACAUGGGAAGGUCCCGUAGUCAGAGCUGGGCUCCUUCACCAGAAAGCAGUCAUGCAACUGCUUUUGUUUCACCUUUCAUUCCUGGAAUCAACUUUGGUCCAAGAAUGAUCUUCAGUUACCAGACCAUAUUGUACAUCUAUAAAAUUUGAAAAUA